GACGAAAAAUGUUGUUUUGGGUCUCGGACCACUAUAGAUUUUUGGCUUUUACGGAAUGAAUUGGAUUUUUUUUAACUGCCUGACUGUUGCACAUGGGAUGAUUUCAUUACAGAUUUGCAAUGGUAUGACAUAUAUGUUCUUAACAAAAUGUGUUUUCUUUUUCCAGGUUGUGUAGUUUGGGAUCAGAUUUAUCAGACAUAUUGCUUGUAGGACAUUGACGGCAGAAACUUGAAAUUUAGUGUGGAGUGCUACCUUAAGGUUGUUUAGUUUGGGAUCAGAUUUAUCAGACAUAUUGCUUGUAGGACAUUGACGGCAGAAACUUGAAAUUUAGUGUGGAGUGCUACCUUAAGUAU